AUGCUGGAAGCACGGCAGCUUUCAAUUUCUGCAGUUCAGCUAAGGAAAUAAAUCCGCUGCUCGCCUGGCGUUUGUUGCUUCCUGUGAUACUACAAACUACUGAGAGAAAAUUAGCAUUUCAUCUCCAAGUAUUUCCUUAACCAAUAUACAUGUCUGUUAAUAAUAUCUCCCAAGAGAAAAAUACAUCAGUAUAUCUAUACUUCACUUCAGUGAAGAAAACCCUGCAUAUUUAGGAAGCAUAGCUUUGCUAUCAGAGAAACUGUCAAGUUAACUGCAGAUGCAUAAUUCUGAAAUAUUCUGCUCGUUUAAAAUUGCCUGAAUGUUCAUAUAUCAUUAGUAAGAAUACUGCAAUUAAUUAGUUACGUAAUUAGUUCAAAAAUGUUGUUGAAACUUCAGUUCCAGCUAAAAGAAUGUUUUCAGGCUCUUUUCUCAGCUUGGUGAUUUUCUGUGCAUUUCUAAGCCUCAGUAAGUUUUUGGGUACACAGUGUUAGUCUGAAGUAUUGUAAGUUAUGCUGACUCCCUCUUGAGCUACUGACCCAAGGCUGGGAGGCACCUCUGGAGUUAUUCAUUCCAACCUCCUUCCUGAGGUAGGAUCAAUGCCAAAUGCAGGUCAGGUUGCUCAGGGCUUUGGGCUGAGUAUGCAGAGUCCACAGACUUUCUGGUUCCCUUUUUCAGUGCUUAAUCCUAGUGAAGAGCUUUUUUUCUUAAGUCCUUGUGAUUCUUGUUCCUCGUCCUUUGAUUGUGCUUCUAAAGGAGGAGCAUGGCUGCCUUUUCUGUAAUCUCCUUUCAGGUAGCAGAAGAGAAUAACCCAAUUCCUCACCAGCUUCUUCAGCUCCAGUCUGAACUUCCCCAGUACUUUCAGCCUCUCUGCAUUCAGAAUGUGCUCCAGUCCAUGCCGAUGGACUUUGGCUGGGCUCUCCCCCAGGAUGUCAGCAAACCAUGAUGGUCCCAUCAGCACCAAGAGCUCCGCAUGGGGAAAUGAGCUGCCUUCGAAAAGCUGCCACAAAGAAGCCAUCUCAGCAUCCAUACACCAGAGCUCGGUCACGGAUGCGACGUCGGGAGCUUUGGAGGCUGUGCCUGUGGGGAGGGCAGCCAGGGGGGCCUCUGAGCUCCUUGGAACAUGGAUUUCCCAUCUGCUGUUGCUCUGGAAAGGGAACUCCAUUGCUGUUCUCCACCAGGCUAUUUCCAGACACAGAAGGAGACACUUCAAUACUGCCUCUGCUCCUUGUAGAUCUGAGCUGACCUCAGCAUUUUUCUCAUCAGCAUGCACUGAGAUGUAUGUCUAG
rnacentral:lncRNA from 1 species